rnacentral:lncRNA from 1 species
GAAUCUGGAGCAGUUGGCAAAACGUGAGAGCAGCGGUUUGGCAGAUCAUGUGACAUAACAUCUGAUGGUUUCUAGGAGUUUUAGCUUAGGAGCAGUUCCUUUAGUUUAGUAUAAAUAGAAGAUCCCACGAGGGGCUCAGGGUGUUCACUUUGUACUUAAGAUCACUUGUAAGAAAACUUCCCAUUCCCAGUGCGAGGAAGCAAGAGUUUUUUGAGUGUUAUGUACGUGAAUCACCACAUUUAUUUCAAUGCAACUUCC